CCAGAGGAGCCUCUCCAGCGAUGGGGAUCCUACAAGGAAGGAUUCCUUCCGCCUGCAAGUAUACAGCCAGGUGAAAUAUGCUAGACGGCUAGACAAGUCAACAUUGGAGGCGCAUGUUGAGUCCAGUGCCGGUUUUGAACGUACGUACAUGCUGACUAGUAAAUGUUUAAGAAACUGUAUGUAAAUCACUGAAUAAUUUUGUUGGAUAUACCUUGCUAAUUUCUUUCUUAUGCAGGCGUUGGAUCAUUCGUUCGAGGGUGGAUUAAUAACGAUGAAUGUAUGUUGUUGCAAUUUUGUUGAGAUAUGCUCAAAGAUUAGCACUAAAUUUAAAUUUUACUACCUCUGUUUCUAGAUGUAGGAUUUAGGAACAGAGGGUCUACAUGUUUGUAGACGUUAACUCUCUGCCAUACUGUAUUCUUUUUCAGAAUUUUUAGAACAUCUGAAAUAUACUUUUCACUUGGUGCCCAUUUUAAUAUGGAUACUGAGUAGUGAGACGUUAAUAUUUUACAUGUUUGUAGAAGAAUGACACUUCUUGCCUCUUUGGCAAAUAUGAGUAGUGACAGACAUAUAUUUCAUUUAAUCUUACCUGCAAGAAGAGUCUGUUUGGCGCCAUAAUCCGCAUCCUGUCCUUGCCGGCGUUGCGCACUAACCGGAACGUCUCCAACUUCCCCGGGGACGUCGCCGUGGC
rnacentral:lncRNA from 1 species